GGGGGACUGGUGUAUCGGUAACACGGCGGUCUCCAAAACCGCAACGCGAGGUUCGACUCCUCGGUCCCCCGC
rnacentral:tRNA from 1 species